ACGAACGCUGGCGGCGUGCUUAACACAUGCAAGUCGAACGGAAAGGCUCCAGCUUGCUGGAGUACUCGAGUGGCGAACGGGUGAGUAACACGUGGGUAAUCUGCCCUGCACUCUGGGAUAAGCCUGGGAAACUGGGUCUAAUACUGGAUAUGACCUUUCUCCUUAUGGGGUUUGGUGGAAAGUUUUUCGGUGUAGGAUGAGCCCGCGGCCUAUCAGCUUGUUGGUGGGGUGAUGGCCUACCAAGGCGACGACGGGUAGCCGGCCUGAGAGGGUGAUCGGCCACAUUGGGACUGAGAUAUGGCCCAGACUCCUACGGGAGGCAGCAGUGGGGAAUAUUGCACAAUGGGCGGAAGCCUGAUGCAGCGACGCCGCGUGAGGGAUGACGGCCUUCGGGUUGUAAACCUCUUUCAGCAGGGACGAAGCGUAAGUGACGGUACCUGCAGAAGAAGCACCGGCUAACUAUGUG
rnacentral:rRNA from 1 species